AAACGAUGAUUACUAGGAGUUUGCGAUAUAGUGUAAGCUCUACAGCGAAAGCGUUAAGUAAUCCACCUGGGGAGUACGCCGGCAACGGUGAAACUCAAAGGAAUUGACGGGGGCCCGCACAAGCGGAGGAACAUGUGGUUUAAUUCGAUGAUACGCGAGGAACCUUACCCGGGAUUGAAAUGUAGACGACGGAGAGUGAGAGCUUUCUUCCCUUCGGGGCGUCUAUGUAGGUGCUGCAUGGUUGUCGUCAGCUCGUGCCGUGAGGUGUCGGCUUAAGUGCCAUAACGAGCGCAACCCUGACUGUCAGUUGCUAACAGGUAAAGCUGAGGACUCUGGCGGGACUGCCGGCGUAAGCUGUGAGGAAGGUUGGGAUGACGUCAAAUCAGCACGGCCCUUACAUCCGGGGCGACACACGUGUUACAAUGGCAGGGACAAAGGGCAGCUACCGGGCGACCGGAUGCCAAUCUCCAAACCCUGUCUCAGUUCGGAUCGGAGUCUGCAACUCGACUCCGUGAAGCUGGAUUCGCUAGUAAUCGAGCAUCAGCCAUGGCGCGGUGAAUACGUUCCCGGGCCUUGUACCCUCCACCCGUCAAGCCAUGGGAGCCGGGGGUACCUGAAGUCCGUAACCGCGAGGAUCGCCUAAGGUAAAACCUGUGGGGCA
rnacentral:rRNA from 1 species